rnacentral:rRNA from 1 species
UACGAAGGGUGCAAACGUUGCUCGGAAUUAUUGGGCGUAAAGCGCACGUAGGCUGCUCUGCAAGUCGGAUGUGAAAGCCCUGGGCUCAACCUAGGAAGUGCAUUCGAAACUGCAGAGCUUGAGUCCUGGAGAGGGAAGGCGGAAUUCUCGGUGUAGAGGUGAAAUUCGUAGAUAUCGAGAGGAACACCGGUGGCGAAGGCGGCCUUCUGGACAGUGACUGACGGCUGAGAACACG